rnacentral:rRNA from 1 species
UCGCACCUACCGAUUGGAUGGUCCGGUGAGAAUUUCGGAUUGUGAUGACGUCGCUUUCAUUAGGGAUGUCAUUGUGAGAAGUUAUUCAAACCUUACCAUCUAGAGGAAGGUG